UACGUAGGGCGCAAGCGUUGUCCGGAAUUAUUGGGCGUAAAGAGCUCGUAGGCGGUUUGUCGCGUCUGCUGUGAAAACCUAAGGCUCAACCUUGGGCUUGCAGUGGGUACGGGCAGACUAGAGUGCGGUAGGGGUGACUGGAAUUCCUGGUGUAGCGGUGGAAUGCGCAGAUAUCAGGAGGAACACCGAUGGCGAAGGCAGGUCACUGGGCCGAUACUGACGCUGAGGAGCGAAAGCGUGGGGAGCGAACAGG
rnacentral:rRNA from 1 species